UGCCAGUUAUAUCUCUGGAAUUCUACUCUCACAACGUAAUUGAAUGGUAUUUCAUCAUCCAUGAUGUUCCAUCACUGAUUCCUGUUGUACUUUCAUACUUAGAUGGGUGCAUUGCUCUUUGGCUGUUGAAGCUACCUUCUCCCUUCCACCACUCUAUAAUAUAGAGCAGCUAUUAUUUUACGUGGGCUUCUCUACACUUCAUGUUGGGGGCACUUCUUUACAAUUCAUGUUGGAAGGGUAUUUUUUUUUAACUUUGCCUUUGCUUUGUUUUAUGUAUUUACUUCAUGGUCAUAACUCUUGUUCUCUUUUCCGUCUUC
rnacentral:lncRNA from 1 species